rnacentral:lncRNA from 1 species
UCACCAUUCACUACUACACAAGCAUCGUUUCUUCAUCGUUCCUAAAAUCCUAAGUGCUACAGUACACGCACUGCUACUGUCCGCCGUGGUGCCCCUCGACUGGCGGCCCAUCCGUGAGGAGCUGCGAAACCCAUUCAUCGUCCACCACCUCCUCCUCCUCCUCCUCCUCUCCCGCCGCCGCGGGCUUGGGAACUGGCCACGUCCAAGGCCACGGCUCCGCCCCACCCGCCGCACGCCCGUCCACGGACGCCAUCACCGUGGACGCCGGCGCCGACAGCGACGACCCGCAGCUCUCGUUCCUCUCGCUCACUGCCGCGUACA